rnacentral:rRNA from 1 species
GACGAACGCUGGCGGCGUGCCUAAUACAUGCAAGUAGAACGCUGAAGGAGGAGCUUGCUUCUCUGGAUGAGUUGCGAACGGGUGAGUAACGCGUAGGUAACCAGCCUGGUAGCGGGGGAUAACUAUUGGAAACGAUAGCUAAUACCGCAUAAGAGUAGAUGUUGCAUGACAUUUGCUUAAAAGGUGCAAUUGCAUCACUACCAGAUGGACCUGCGUUGUAUUAGCUAGUUGGUGGGGUAACGGCUCACCAAGGCGACGAUACAUAGCCGACCUGAGAGGGUGAUCGGCCACACUGGGACUGAGACACGGCCCAGACUCCUACGGGAGGCAGCAGUAGGGAAUCUUCGGCAAUGGACGGAAGUCUGACCGAGCAACGCCGCGUGAGUGAAGAAGGGUUUCGGAUCGUAAAGCUCUGUUGUAAGAGAAGAACGAGUGUGAGAGUGGAAAGUUCACACUGUGACGGUAUCUUACCAGAAAGGGACGGCUAACUACGUG